rnacentral:rRNA from 1 species
CAGCCGCCACGGUAAUACGUAGGGCGCAAGCGUUAUCCGGAAUUAUUGGGCGUAAAGAGCUCGUAGGCGGUUUGUCGCGUCUGCCGUGAAAGUCCGGGGCUCAACCCCGGAUCUGCGGUGGGUACGGGCAGACUAGAGUGAUGUAGGGGAGACUGGAAUUCCUGGUGUAGCGGUGAAAUGCGCAGAUAUCAGGAGGAACACCGAUGGCGAAGGCAGGUCUCUGGGCAUUAACUGACGCUGAGGAGCGAAAGCAUGGGGAGCGAACAGGAUUAGAUACCCCGGUAGUCCCUGUCUCUUAUAC